rnacentral:rRNA from 1 species
AGGUAAGCUACUAAGAGCGAAUGGUGGAUGCCUUGACUGGUAAAGGCGAUGAAGGACGUACUAGACUGCGAUAAGCUACGGGGAGCUGUCAAGAAGCUUUGAUCCGUAGAUUUCCGAAUGGGGCAACCCAAUGUAUAGAGAUAUACAUUACCUAUAUAGGAGCGAACGAGGGGAAUUGAAACAUCUUAGUACCCUCAGGAAAAGAAAUCAAUAGAGAUUGCGUCAGUAGCGGCGAGCGAAAGCGCAAGAGGGCAAACCCAGUGCUUGCACUGGGGGUUGUAGGACUGCAAUGUGCAAGAGGUGAGUUUAGCAGAACAUUCUGGAAAGUAUAGCCAUAGAGGGUGAUAGUCCCGUAUGCGAAAAACAAACCUUAGCUAGCAGUAUCCUGAGUAGGGCGGGACACGAGAAAUCCUGUCUGAAGCUGGGUCGACCACGAUCCAACCCUAAAUACUAAUACCAGAUCGAUAGUGCACAAGUACCGUGAGGGAAAGGUGAAAAGAACUGAGGUGAUCAGAGUGAAAUAGAACCUGAAACCAUUUGCUUACAAUCAUUCAGAGCACUAUGUAGCAAUACAGUGUGAUGGACUGCCUUUUGCAUAAUGAGCCUGCGAGUUGUGGUGUCUGGCAAGGUUAAGCAAACGCGAAGCCGUAGCGAAAGCGAGUCUGAAUAGGGCGCUUAGUCAGAUGCUGCAGACCCGAAACGAAGUGAUCUAUCCAUGAGCAAGUUGAAGCUAGUGUAAGAACUAGUGGAGGACUGAACCCAUAGGCGUUGAAAAGCCCCGGGAUGACUUGUGGAUAGGGGUGAAAGGCCAAUCAAACUUCGUGAUAGCUGGUUCUCUCCGAAAUAUAUUUAGGUAUAGCGUUGUGUCGUAAUAUAAGGGGGUAGAGCACUGAAUGGGCUAGGGCAUACACCAAUGUACCAAACCCUAUCAAACUCCGAAUACCUUAUAUGUAAUCACAGCAGUCAGGCGGCGAGUGAUAAAAUCCGUCGUCAAGAGGGAAACAACCCAGACUACCAGCUAAGGUCCCUAAAUCUUACUUAAGUGGAAAACGAUGUGAAGUUACUUAAACAACCAGGAGGUUGGCUUAGAAGCAGCCAUCCUUUAAAGAAAGCGUAAUAGCUCACUGGUCUAGUGAUUUUGCGCGGAAAAUAUAACGGGGCUAAAGUAAGUACCGAAGCUGUAGACUUGAUUUUAUCAAGUGGUAGGAGAGCGUUCUAUUUGCGCCGAAGGUAUACCGGUAAGGAGUGCUGGAGCGAAUAGAAGUGAGCAUGCAGGCAUGAGUAGCGAUAAUUAAUGUGAGAAUCAUUAACGCCGUAAACCCAAGGUUUCCUACGCGAUGCUCGUCAUCGUAGGGUUAGUCGGGUCCUAAGUCGAGUCCGAAAGGGGUAGACGAUGGCAAAUUGGUUAAUAUUCCAAUACCAACAUUAGUGUGCGAUGGAAGGACGCUUAGGGCUAAGGGGGCUAGCGGAUGGAAGUGCUAGUCUAAGGUCGUAGGAGGUUAUACAGGCAAAUCCGUAUAACAAUACUCCGAGAACUGAAAGGCUUUUUGAAGUCUUCGGAUGGAUAGAAGAACCCCUGAUGCCGUCGAGCCAAGAAAAGUUUCUAAGUUUAGCUAAUGUUGCCCGUACCGUAAACCGACACAGGUGGGUGGGAUGAGUAUUCUAAGGCGCGUGGAAGAACUCUCUUUAAGGAACUCUGCAAAAUAGCACCGUAUCUUCGGUAUAAGGUGUGGUUCGCUUCGUAUUAGGAUUUACUCCGAAAGCGAAGAAACUUACAACAAAGAGUCCCUCCCGACUGUUUACCAAAAACACAGCACUCUGCUAACUCGUAAGAGGAUGUAUAGGGUGUGACGCCUGCCCGGUGCUCGAAGGUUAAUUGAUGGGGUUAGCAUUAGCGAAGCUCUUGAUCGAAGCCCGAGUAAACGGCGGCCGUAACUAUAACGGUCCUAAGGUAGCGAAAUUCCUUGUCGGUUAAAUACCGACCUGCAUGAAUGGCGUAACGAGAUGGGAGCUGUCUCAAAGAGGGAUCCAGUGAAAUUGUAGUGGAGGUGAAAAUUCCUCCUACCCGCGGCAAGACGGAAAGACCCCGUGGACCUUUACUACAGCUUGACACUGCUAUUUGGAUAAGAAUGUGCAGGAUAGGUGGGAGGCUUUGAGUAUAUGACGCUAGUUGUAUAUGAGCCAUUGUUGAGAUACCACUCUUUCUUAUUUGGGUAGCUAACCAGCUUGAGUUAUCCUCAAGUGGGACAAUGUCUGGUGGGUAGUUUGACUGGGGCGGUCGCCUCCCAAAUAAUAACGGAGGCUUACAAAGGUUGGCUCAGAACGGUUGGAAAUCGUUCGUAGAGUAUAAAGGUAUAAGCCAGCUUAACUGCAAGACAUACAAGUCAAGCAGAGACGAAAGUCGGUCUUAGUGAUCCGGUGGUUCUGUGUGGAAGGGCCAUCGCUCAAAGGAUAAAAGGUACCCCGGGGAUAACAGGCUGAUCUCCCCCAAGAGCUCACAUCGACGGGGAGGUUUGGCACCUCGAUGUCGGCUCAUCGCAUCCUGGGGCUGGAGCAGGUCCCAAGGGUAUGGCUGUUCGCCAUUUAAAGCGGUACGCGAGCUGGGUUCAGAACGUCGUGAGACAGUUCGGUCCCUAUCUGCCGUGGGCGUAAGAAGAUUGAAGAGAUUUGACCCUAGUACGAGAGGACCGGGUUGAACAAACCACUGGUGUAGCUGUUGUUCUGCCAAGAGCAUCGCAGCGUAGCUAAGUUUGGAAAGGAUAAACGCUGAAAGCAUCUAAGCGUGAAGCCAACUCUAAGAUGAAUCUUCUCUAAGCUCUCUAGAAGACUACUAGUUUGAUAGGCUGGGUGUGUAAUGGAUGAAAGUCCUUUAGCUGACCAGUACUAAUAGAGCGUUUGGCUUAUCUUU